GCUUAUCAAGGAGCAUACAGAAGAUGAGAUGGAAUAUGAAAGAAGAAAGCGAGAGAGAAGACAUAAGUGUGGGGGAUGUUCAUAGCUGAUGACAUGGUGACAAAGAGAUGUGCACUACAGGGCAAAGUGCAUGUGGUCGUUGUCCUGCAAAUGAAUGAGCACAGAAGAAGUUAAAAGUUAUCUAAUUACUUGUAUGUUCAUACAUUUCAUGUGCAUAAUUAAAAAUAAAUUAUAAAGUCUGGAAGAAACCUGAAA